GAUGAACGCUGGCGGCGUGCCUAAUACAUGCGAGUCGAGCGAACGGACGAGAAGCUUGCUUCUCUGAUGUUAGCGGCGGACGGGUGAGUAACACGUGGAUAACCUACCUAUAAGACUGGGAUAACUUCGGGAAACCGGAGCUAAUACCGGAUAAUAUUUUGAACCGCAUGGUUCAAAAGUGAAAGACGGUCUUGCUGUCACUUAUAGAUGGAUCCGCGCUGCAUUAGCUAGUUGGUAAGGUAACGGCUUACCAAGGCAACGAUGCAUAGCCGACCUGAGAGGGUGAUCGGCCACACUGGAACUGAGACACGGUCCAGACUCCUACGGGAGGCAGCAGUAGGGAAUCUUCCGCAAUGGGCGAAAGCCUGACGGAGCAACGCCGCGUGAGUGAUGAAGGUCUUCGGAUCGUAAAACUCUGUUAUUAGGGAAGAACAUAUGUGUAAGUAACUGUGCACAUCUUGACGGUACCUAAUCAGAGAGCCACGGCUAACUACGUG
rnacentral:rRNA from 1 species